UCCAAAUAUUCGUCAGAUAUUCUACACACAUAAAUACAUUUGUAUGUAUAUACACAGGCAUAUGUGAGUAUCUGAGGAGGAAAUGAUAAAAAUGUUUCCUUCGAAAAUGAUUUCACCAUUCCUUGAAUGUAGAUUUUAUUUAAAAUUUUUCGAUUUUUUAUCUACUUAAAAUUCAAUGCAGAUUUCUAUUAUAAUUCAAAUAUUCGUGAAAUAUUCCAAAUAAAUUUACGGAAAAUUUAAACCCAUACAUUUUAAGAAAGAGUGAACACAGAAAAAAGCCCAAAAUUUUCAUAUCUAGGCAAGAGAUCGAGGUCGAAGUUGAAGUAUGUAUAUACGAGUAUACACUGACACAUAUGCGCAUACAUACAUACCGCAAGAUUUCGAGAAAUUGCAGCAAAGGUACAGUUGAAGUCCGUUACUAAAGCCUUAGCCAAGCAAUCCAUAGAUAUGUACAUAUGUAUGCAUGUACAUACGCCCUUGGUGUAGAUAACGACAAAAUACACUAACAAUACCAAAGCCAUUUCCAACAGCUCAAAAAUCCAAGAAAAUGAACUAAACAAAUAAUAAAGGAGAUAUGAAGAAAACUGUGGAGGGUGAAAAACUAUUGUUCCACAAAUGCUGAUUGUGCCUGUGUAGUCACUGAUUUCAGGUUGUUGCUGUUAACCUGCGACCAUGAAAAUGUGCAAAUGAGACACAACAACAAAACUGUUAUGUAGAGUGACUAAAUACUUCAACCCCUAAUCCUAGAAUAGUGGACAAUGAAUGACUGUGCUAAAAUAGGGAAAUGAGUAGAUAGCUGAGCGUAGGUGUAAAUGAGUGAACGAAAGAGAAAGAGUGUGAACGAUGAGAUGCAGUUCAUGCGUAGAGGUGCGAAAGAGCAGAAUGGCGUAUGGGAUUAGCAAUCAUUGUUAAGGGUGGAAUUCCCUCACAGAUCGUGGCAAGGUCAUGUUUUUCUGGCCUAUAUAAGGCCAUCGCUGUCAGACCGAAGGCAUACACUUCAAGUGCACCGUUCAUAGAACAUCACGUAGCGCUACAUAGCAAUUGCUUUAAGCUGGCGUUUUACGUGUUGAAAAGCUUUAAAUAGUUUAAAUUUAUUAGUUAAAAUUUUUAGUUAAAAUUCAAAUUUUUAGUUAAAAUUUAUUUUUGUAAAUAUGUAAAUUUUGCAACUAAAUGUUCGCGUUUGCUGAGUUAUUGGUGUAUUUAAUUACUUAAACUGGAGAGAAAGACAGAGGCACUAGCCCCCUGACCCAGGUUACGGAGGUGCAAGCAAUCUAUGAACGAUUAUAAUGAGAAGAAAAUCAAGAUCGGAAGAGCAAGGAUGAGUUGGCGGACUCUUUCCAAAACUAUCGGUCAUUGGACUCUCUCUUUGGACCUUUAACUACGAGCGCAAACAGGGGGGAUAUUUUAACAUAGACAUAGAGGAUUGAGAAGUAGCAGCGUCAGCAGUAAUAGCAACAAGAGAAGCAGCAACAACAGCAACAAUGCCAAUGAUGAUGAUGAUAAUGGUGAUGGUGAUGGUGAUGAUGGGACAAAAACAAAAGCAACGAAAGCGGUGAGUGGUGUGGUGACCUCUAACUGUAAAUGCUGAAUGUGCUGCAGAAAAUGUGUGCUAUUGGUUGGCUGGUGAAUAAUGUAACAACAACAGAAACAUGUAAAUAUAACAACGGGGGAUAUGAAGACAAAGCGAUCUUCAAGCAAUCAAUAGUAGAAGCCAGUAAAAGAUCGAGUUAAGGCGUAAAUGUACACCUUUUGAGAUUAAAAGCGAAGAAAGCAACUGAUUUCUUGCACGCACUGCGAAGGCGCUACGCUCGUACGAACUCUGAGAUGAAGUAAAUAAACCAACGAUAAGAAAAACAAGUCACGCGGUCUUCAAGCAAUCAAAACGAACAUUAGUGAGUAGUAGCUGAUAAUAACAACAAAAAGUAACAAUAAUAAGCACCAAUUGAAAAUAACAACGACAAAAUUGAAAUUAUACCGAAAACUAACCAUUACACACGAGAAAAAAAAAAGUUCUCAAGUGUGCGUACUGCCGAAGCAUAGCUGCAUUUCCGGCUCAAAGAACAUCAUGGGGCAAGAGCGGGCAUCAACAGAUGCACUAUUCGGGCACUACGCACAUUUCGAAGUUUUCUAAAUACACAUAUGAAAUGUGUAAUUAGCUACGCGAAGGUGAGAAUAAUUUGCAACUUUUCUUCAAACAACUACGUAAUCGAUCGAUUUUAAGCGGUAAUAUUAAAAUUUCGAUAGUAAAACCAAAAAAAGGCAACUUAACGUAGCGACCUGUGGCAUGCCUUACGCGAGCACUGCUCACAUUUGCGCUACGCUACAAGAGAGAAGACUGCGACAAACAAGUGACGCAGAGUCUUCAAGUAGUUUUAAGAAGUAACUAUAACAGCAACAAAAUGUAACUAUAAUACAAAAAGGGAAUUGGACGCAAGAAUUCAUUUGAAUUUGAUACUGAAAAUAAGUCGUUAACAUCUGGUGGAGUGGCGUACUGUCGAAGCAUAGUUGUAAUUUGGGCCACCAAUUUCACUGUCCCACUAUGCACUAUGCGGGCACUACGCUUUAUAACAAAUAAAAUAAUGUAUAUAUGUAUAUAUUUAGAAUCUUAGCUAAUAAAUAAUUAAAAUUUUAA